rnacentral:rRNA from 1 species
GACGAACGCUGGCGGCGUGCUUAACACAUGCAAGUCGAGCGGUAAGGCCCUUUCGGGGGUACACGAGCGGCGAACGGGUGAGUAACACGUGGGUGACCUGCCCUCAGCUCUGGGAUAAGCCUGGGAAACCGGGUCUAAUACUGGAUAUGACUCCAUGACGCAUGUUGUGGGGUGGAAAGCCUUGUGCGGCUGAGGAUGGGCCCGCGGCCUAUCAGCUUGUUGGUGGGGUGANGGCCUACCAAGGCGACGACGGGUAGCCGGCCUGAGAGGGCGACCGGCCACACUGGGACUGAGACACGGCCCAGACCCCUACGGGAGGCAGCAGUGGGGAAUCUUGCGCAAUGGGCGAAAGCCUGACGCAGCGACGCCGCGUGAGGGAUGACGGCCUC